CCCAGUACGAGAGGAACGGCAGGUUCGGACAUUUGGUUCGGCACUCGCCCGAGCGGGCGUUGGUGCGAGGCUACCAUCCGUUGGAUUACGCCUGAACGCCUCUAAGGCCGUAUCCACUCUGGAGAAAACAGCCGGGCCGGCUUUCGGGCCGGUCUCGGGAAAACGAUCGUCCGUACGGCGGAGGAGAACCCAGUAUACAUCGGGAAGGCGUCAAAGCACGGACCUUCGGGUCCACGACGAGCCGGAUUCUCGGCCGCGCGGGCUCUCGGGCCCGCUGGCCGUGCAUCAACGGUGAACGCGGUGAUCCCGCGGCAAACGGUGUGGGUUUUCGGAAUCGUCUGCAGACGACUUAAGUACCGGGCUGGGUGUUGUACUCGGCAGAGCAGUUAUCACGCUGCGAUCUGUUAAGACUGCCCUUUGCCUCGGGGGUUCGU
rnacentral:ncRNA from 1 species